UUAGAGUGACAAACUAUCCUGGUUUCCCUGGGACUGAGGGGAGUCCCAGGAUAUGAGCCGUGU
rnacentral:miRNA from 1 species